rnacentral:lncRNA from 1 species
GAUGUGUAGGACUUGCAGCUUUAUUAGAACUACAGCUUCAGUGCCAAACGCAAGUGCGAAAGGUGUCUCUUUGGUCGGUGCUCUGGGGGCAGUUCUGAAGGCCUACAGGAUGCUGUUGAGCUCAUCCGUCCAAUUUCUCUUUGCCCCAUCUAAUCGCUUCUUCAGGCCCUGGAGAAUAGCUCUGUUGCUGACUUCUGUUUGACCGUUGGUUUGGGGAUGGGCCACUGAGGAGAAUUUAUGCCAUAUGCCCA